CCCUUAGAUGUUCUGGGCCGCACACGCGCUACACUGAAGGAGGCAGCGUGUACUCCUGGAUCGAAAGAUUUGGGUAACCCGCGAAUCUCCUUCGUGCUAGGGAUUGAGGUUUGCAAUUAUCCUUCAUGAACGAGGAAUUCCCAGUAAGUGCAAGUCAUAAGCUUGUGCUGACUACGUCCCUGCCCUUUGUACACACCGCCCGUCGCUACUACCGAUUGAAUGAUUUAGUGAGGACUUCGGACUGGGACCGAUGCGGCUUUCGGGCUGCGUCGGUAUUCUGGAAAGAUGUCCAAACUGUAUCAUUUAGAGGAAGUAAAAGUCGUAACA
rnacentral:rRNA from 1 species